rnacentral:rRNA from 1 species
UACGUAGGCUGCAAGCGUUGUUCGGAAUUACUGGGCGUAAAGAGUUUGUAGGCGGUUUGCCAAGUCCGAUGUGAAAUCUCCUGGCUUAACUGGGAGGGUGCGUUAGAUACUGGCAGGCUUGAGUGUGGGAGAGGAGAGCGGAAUUCCUGGUGUAGCGGUGAAAUGCGUAGAUAUCAGGAGGAACGCCUGUGGUGUAGACGGCUCUCUGGACCAUUACUGACACUGAGGUACGAAAGCGUGGGUAGCAAACAGG